rnacentral:rRNA from 1 species
CAGUCGCCGCGGGAAUACGAAGGGGGCUAGCGUUGUUCGGAUUUACUGGGCGUAAAGCGCACGUAGGCGGAAAUUUAAGUCAGGGGUGAAAUCCCGAGGCUCAACCUCGGAACUGCCUUUGAUACUGGGUUUCUUGAGUCCGGAAGAGGUGAGUGGAACUGCGAGUGUAGAGGUGAAAUUCGUAGAUAUUCGCAAGAACACCAGUGGCGAAGGCGGCUCACUGGCCCGGAACUGACGCUGAGGCGCGAAAGCGUGGGGAGCAAACAGGAUUAGAUACCCCAGUAGUCCCUGUCUCUUAUAC